rnacentral:tRNA from 1 species
ACGUAAGUUCUUUGUUUGUAAUGGGGUUAUCGUUUUUCGAUGUCGGUCUACGGAACCGAAGGUUGGGGGUUCGAACCCCUCCAGGCGUA